AGCAGACUGGGCAGCCGCACGCUUUAUGCGUGAGGAAAGUCCGGGCCCCAUAGAGCAGGAUAACGGCUAACGGCCGCCGAGGGCGACCUCAGGGAAAGUGCAACAGAGAUAUACCGCCGGCCUUUGCCGGUAAGGGUGGAAAGGCGAGGUAAGAGCUCACCAGCGUGCGGGGAACCGCACGGCUCUGCAAACCCUAUCCGGAGCAACACCGACUGGAGAGACACGCUUGCUCGGCGCAUUCUCCGACAGGUGGCUUGAGCGCUGUGGCAACGCGGCGCCUAGAUAGAUGGCUGCCUUUAAUGACAGAACUCGGCUUACAGGUCUGGUCG
rnacentral:RNase_P_RNA from 1 species